UACGUAGGGUGCAAGCGUUGUCCGGAAUUAUUGGGCGUAAAGAGCUCGUAGGCGGUCUGUCACGUCGGCUGUGAAAACCCGAGGCUCAACCUCGGGCCUGCAGUCGAUACGGGUCUGCUGGGGUCCGGCAGGGGAGACUGGAAUUCCUGGUGUAGCGGUGGAAUGCGCAGAUAUCAGGAGGAACACCGGUGGCGAAGGCGGGUCUCUGGGCCGAUACUGACGCUGAGGAGCGAAAGCAUGGGUAGCGAACAGG
rnacentral:rRNA from 1 species